UCCGUGGCAGUCCAGUGGCUAAGACCCUGCACUUCCAAUGCAGGGGACCCAGGUUUGAUCCCUGGUCAGGGAA
rnacentral:tRNA from 1 species